GUCAGAAUGGCACAGUGGUUUGAGUGCUGGACUACAACUCUGGAAACCAAGGCUUUGAUUCCAUGCUCAGCCA